CAACAACAGACACACAUCAUGCCCCUAUCAUGGUCUAAACCAAUCAGAGACAGUCUCUAGAAGUUGCUAAAUGACGGCAUCGCCUAAUUUGCAUAAUUGGUCACGCUGAUGUAAUUGUAACCUACGUUGUUGGAGAGAGAAGUAACAUCGUGGAAGAGACAUAAAGUGAGUAAAAAACGUCCUAAAUGCAGUUAGAAUUUAUUUAGAACUACAAAUUAAAUUUCUUUUAGUAAUAAUUGUUUUUUAAUGUCACAAUUCCAACCCUGCUCCUUUAUCCGGGUUUGGACCGGCAAGAGUGACCCGAAAUUGGCACGACUGCGUUACAGUCAGUGCGGGAGCAGCGGCUUCGCUCUUGCGCGAUUCAUUUGCCGUUUGGAGGCAUAGGUGUGAACGUCUCCUGCCCUGAUAGCAGCUGGGGGAGGACUAUCCUCCGCCUGUGAGCGCUUUGGCACGGGUGAAGUGCCCAUGGCAGCGCCGCUGCUUGUUGAGAGUAAGACUUAAAUACUUAUUACUAUUCCACAGUUUUGAGACAAGCUUCACAUAUGGUAUAUCAUUUUGUGCGGCUGAAUCAGGAAUGGUGUGCUAUGACUUUUGGUGUUUAUUACUUCUGGUGUUUAUUACUUCUAUAGUUUUUUUUAAAUAUGAAUAUUUUAAUGCAAGUUUUUGCCCAUUGAAAUGAAUGGGAAGGCUUCAUUUGUGGUGUGUUGGCUCUCUCUAGUGGUAUGCCGGGAGUGGUACGGCCUGUCUACCCUUAUUUGGAUUACCGUAAUGACGACAAUAUCAAUGGCGCGCACAGCGUCUCUGCUUUCAGGAACCAUUGGAAGUUUUAAGGUUGCGCGAACCAUUGAAUAGUUACGGUAACGGAAAACUCCAUAUCCCACAAUUCAUAGCACACCUCUGCCGAGUUAAACAAUGGCGGACACCUCUUCGUUUUAAAUGUAUUUUAUUAGUGUUUCUAGGUCACAAAAUAAACUUUUAAGAUAUUUUCAGGCGAGAAUGUAGGUGUGUAGACUUCAAAUAUCUGCUCGUUUUGUGAAAACAUCCCAUAAUAGCAACAGUGUUCUGACGAUGUUGCUGAUAGCCGGCUAGCUAGCUAACCCGAUCGGUACCCCGCAUGCGCGAAAGGUGUCUACUUCCGGUCGAAGCGUUUUACGAUAGUUACGGGUCAGAGUAUCUGUUAAGAUGUUAAGAAUAAUAAGUAUAUCUUCAAACGUUUGCAAUAAUGAAGCAUUUCAGUACAAUGUAGACAAAAACGAAAAAUAGAAAGAUAGUUACGGAUCAGGACUCCCCGAUCCUUACUGCGCAUGUGCACAGUCCGACCUUACAAAUCGGGUCUACCCGAUCCGUACCGCGCAUGUGCAGAUGUUUUCUUCUUCUUCUGUUCGUUUAAUGGCAGUUUACUCCCCAGUGUACGAGGAUACCGCCACCUGCUGACGGAGCGAAUGAACCCUGUUAUAAACUGAAUUAGCGUCAUUUCAAAUGCGUGUUAAAUUUGAUUUAGCGAUAGUCAAGUGUGUUUAUGCUUGUCUGUGUGGAGAGGAUUGAUUGGAAUAGUGAUGAUGAUGUCCGCUAUCACUGUCAAUUGUCAGUAAACACUUAAUCUGGCUGAUGAAUCUUCACGUGACCUAUUACAAAGUCUGUAUUAUUAAGUCUGUAAUUAGGCGCCAUUCUUAUUAUUUUACGGAGCUUUUGUUCAAUCGGGGGACGCUGUCUGUUGAGGAGAAAAGCAUGAAUUUGUUUGUAUACGGAUUAUCCAUUGUUUAAAUGUCCCGGUAGUCGAAAAGGAGGCAGAGCUGUUGAGAAAUGCUAGGAGCUAACUGGGCGCUAACUGUAUCCAUCCAUCCAUUCGCUUCCGCUUCUCCUUUUCAGGGUCGCGGGGGGCGCUGGAGCCUAUCCCAGCUGUCAUAGGGCCAACACACAAGGACAGACAACCAUUCACACUCACAUUCGCUCGCACAUUCACACCUAGUGGCAAUUUGGUUUAUCCAAUUAACCUAUCCCCACAAGUUGCAUGUCUUUGGACGGUGGGAGGAAGCCGGAGUACCCGGAGAGAACCCACGCAAACACGGGGAGAACAUGCAAACUCCACACAGAAAGACCCCGGCCUGAUGUUGGAAUUGAACUCAGGACCUUCUUGCUGUGCGGCAACAGUGCUAACCACCGUGCUGCCCACUAACUGUAUCAUUCAAAUAUAUUGAAUGUCGCAAUGCUGGCAAAGAGAGGAAGUGACGUAAGAUUUGCGCAUGCAGGGUACCGAUCGGGUUUGUGGUACGGAUCGGGUAGCGACAGCGCCGCUAGCUGGCCCCCCUUUUGCCAGGGGGCCAGGUAGGGCAUUAACAGGGAAAGGUGGACACAAAGUUAUACUUUGAUUUCUUUCUCUCAUCAUCAUAAUAAUAAUAAUAAUAAUAAUGCAUUGGAUUUAUAUAGCGCUAUAAAAUAUUUAGCUUUUAUUAAAUAGUUAUCUGAAUCUUACAGCCAAAGUUUGUAUAAUAAUACACAAGAUUGGCUGUAGACCAUUGUUCAUCAUUCAGAGCACUGUGUAAAAAUAACAAAAACCAAAAAGUGAAUGCAAAAGUGCAUAAAUAUUUAUUUUACGUGUUUGAUGUGUGUGGCGGGGCGUGGUCUGCAGUGCCGCUGCAGGGGAAGUGGACCCACCUGAGCAGCAUCUGCAAUCACGACUCUCGGGCGUAGUCUGUGCUCUCUCGGCUGUUUUUAAGGUGUGUGUCGGGCUGUAAGUUGAAAAGCUACAGCCGGCUGUGUGGGUAAACCAACCAUGUGUGAAAAGUGGUCCAUAACAUAAUGCUUCAAAGCGUGUUCGUGCAAACAUUGUCGGGUCUGCCGUGGUACAAUGGGACUUCUGCUCAUGAACCUGUGUGCACAGCAUCUGCAAAUCGGCGCGGUACGAAGUAACUUCAUCUUUACACAAAACUGUAAGCUGUCAUCUGUGAAGCGUGAGCGGUGUUUGUUUUUACCAUAGUUCAUGGUGGAGAAUGGCUGCUCUUCUGAGUUUUGCCCUAAGCAGCCGUAUGAAUGGCAAACUACACUGAUUACCAGCGGCAUAGCCACACUUAAAAUUUCUUCUGAAAUUUUCGCUUUCUAGUUCAUUCGCUUAUUACCCAUCAGUCUACCGAUGUUUAUAGCGCUGGCGGCCGCUGUGUUUUAUUUUCUUUGUACUUAAAUGACCUCGGACAAGAAGGCUUAUUUUCUGCAGUUCAAUACUGAAGAAAUGUAAACUUUUUCAAAUUUUGUAUAAUUGCAGAACAUUUUUAAGGUUAUCUGCUAUAAAAUCCAUGCCAGGGAAAUCUCUUUCAAGUUUUUUUUUUUUUGUAUUUUAUUCUGUGCAUUUAAAAACCAGAGACUCAAAGACACACAAGACCCAGUAAAAGAGCCUGAGAGGAGUUCAGAAGCGCUCCCAUAAAAGAUGCAGGGACUGCAGAGAAGAUCUCCAUGACUCUGACAGAGAUUUCAGUUUUCAUGAAGAAAUAGGACAUGGAGCUUCAGCUGAGAACAGAGAAAGAGAGGGGAAGAGGCUGCCAUCACAGGGUUACGGUUGCAGAGGAGAAAUGAAGGGCAUGGCUUUUCAAGACUGCUAUGUCUGAAAAUGGUCUCUAUUUAUAAAGGCAAUUUCAGAACACCACAUUUUUGACUGUGGGAUGUUUAUGGACCCGGAAUCCAGAGAGUUAUCAUGGCGUGUGCAAAUUCUUUUACGUAGCCCAGCUUAAAUUGCAUUUAAAGAAAGAAGAAAAAAAAAAAGUAGGCAAUUUCAGAAUACCUGUUAGUUCCCACCAGAGUUAAGAGCACAUCUCUGGGUUAUCAUUAUAACAGACUACCUGAACGUGUCACAUUCCUUUUGUCCUUGCUUUAAUUUUUCUUGGACUGCUGGCACUGGGACCGGGCCAUGGAGAAGCAGAAGAAGAUGGAUGGAAUUUGAGAUCAACACAUUUUUGACUGUGUGAUGUAUUUAUUCUGCAUUAAAAUGGACCAAGCACCUCCAGCUCUCCCUCCUAGGUCAACAAAGGCACCCAUCUUCCACCACAAACAACAGGAAGGCCGACACUAGAAGAAGCCUAACAUGACAAAACAACAUGAUCUGGUACCUUGUGCCUUUUUAGUGACACUAUAUCGGUGUGUAGUAUCACUGCAAAAUAUAUGAGUUUAAGACAAAACUGCUGUCAACGAUGGUGAAACUCUACAUUUUCAUGGUUUAGUUUAUAACAUGCAGUCUGUCCCCUGAAGAAACCAUCCCUUAUGCCAUUUUGUGGCCAAGUUGCUGUCUCUGCCUGCUGUGAAGUGCACACACUGGGAUCCUAUAUUAAUGUAAUUCUAGUCUCAUAAAUCAAAUUCAUGCAGCCUGGAGAUGAAAAGUUAGGCAAUCUGGGAAUGUGUUUGGGAUAUUUUUGCACCAGCAUGUUAUUUCUUUUCUUCUUCUUUUUUUUUAUUCAUGCAUACAGCCAUAUGUCAGCACUCAUGUUUUUGUUUGUUAUUUGGGCCAUACUGCUUGGACCUUCUGGAGCCGGAAAGGUGACUCGUGGCCCUCAGCUCGGAGAGAAAUACUGCAUUUGACACCCAUUUCUAAACUGCUGAACCACUUUUGUGAAGGUGCUGGAUACAGUUUGGCUGUGGCACUCAACUUCACUCAGACCAAAACAGAAAUGCCAAAAAAACAGAGCUCCAUAUCUGCCUUUUUCACAGCUCCUCGGAGAGUUCUCAAUAAGAUGUGCACUUGUGAGCCACCAAACAUGGAUUCAGUGCAGCCUCUUUCAUCAUCAUACCGAAUUUCCCAGAGGAACCCACCCGAGGGAUUAAUAAAGUUUUAUCUUAUCUUAUCUGACUCAGCUACACCGACAGCCACAGCGUCAGGGAAAAAACGAGGGCGGAUUGUUGGUCUUGAAAACUCCGACUUUGAGCCCGUUUUAGUUGACGAGUGUAAAAUUAGAAAUGUGACUGAGAAGGAAACAGAAUUAUGGCAGGCACAUUCAGAAAACCAUUCAACUUUACAAAAUGUAUACUGUGAAUCUGAAGAAGAGAAGCCUGGAAAGUGUGAACCACCACAGAAUAAGAGGAGGGUCUCUGAUGCCACCUUUACACAAGAUGACAGUCAACCUCUACCACAGACGUGGAGUCAGGACCCUGUUCACUUUCAGUCAGUACACUGAAAAUGAGUUUCAUCAGACUAACCACAAAUGUACGACAGUCAAGAACUUCAGCAGCUCUGAGCCAAGUUUCCUAAACAGUCUGCAGUAUGAGGAGGACGAAGUCUUUAGAAAACUGAUAGCUGCAGAAGGACUAACCUCAACUCAAAAAUCUUUAAAACGCCUUCAUUCUUCUCAUAUGAUUAAUGAGAAGGAAAACGGGACGCCACUGUCUUAUAAUUCCCCAGGAAAAAUCUCCUGUUUCUCUCAUUUCAGACCUGUUUCAAAUCAUAAGCAGACACAACCAAAAACCGCUUCAUGUCGGAAACAAACAGGUAAGACUUUUUAAAAAAAAUCUUUUAUCAUGAGGAGCAGAGAAGAUGACAAGAACAGGAAAGACUGAACUAACAGUCUUUUAGUAUACUUUUUAUUACAAACCCUAACGAGCAGUAACUGAUUAUGUGUUGCUCUACACUUGUAGGAUGCAUCUAAAAGGCAUGCGGGGCAGAGGAGAUGAGCAGAAGAGGAAAGAGAUAUGGAGGACAGAUAGCGCCAUCGAUAUGUUGCUCAUCAAUGACCAACAAUUAGCAGAAAUCUGGCAACGGACAGUUUGCAAAAAGACGGCAUUACACCCCAACCCUCCACUGUCCCGGUAACAGCGGAUUACCAUGGAGAGUAAAGUUUUCAGUUGGUAAAGCAAAAAAAAAAAAAAAAAGUCAGAGGGCUGCCUCCUGCCCUGCCCUCUGACAUUUUUACUCUCCAUGGUAAUCCGCUUCUCCCCUCUCCCCCCUCGUCCUCACCUCCUUACCUGUGCCCCUCCCUUUAGGCAGGGAGGGGUCUAAAUUCAUUUCCCUGUUCAUAUUUCAGCCUCCCUUCUCCCCACUCACCCCUCCUCCUCACCUCCUCUCUCGCAAGGAGGAGAUGAUUGCUUUUUGGUGACUGUCUGGCAGUUCUUGUGCCAGGGUCCGGUUAAUAUGCCCAUGUUUGGUCUGUGUUGUAAAGUUUGAGGGCGCAAAUAAAACUCCAUCAAUCUUUUUCAAAGAUUUAAAAGGAAACUUUAAAACUUGAGUGUCUAUGAGGGGACGUGAAUAUUUCAGCCUCCCUUCUCCCCACUCACCCCUCCUCCUCACCUCCUCCUCAUCCCUCCUUCUCUCCCUUCCUUUGUGUGGAGUUUGGUGUGGAGAAAAACAAGUUUUCUCUUGUUGAGAACUUCCACUAAACAGUACCGGGAUAGACACAACACUUAAAAAGUUAACGGCUACGACAACGGGGAAAAAAUGUUUAAAAAGAAGCCUUACGGUGGAUCCGAUUCCUUCCACCCAAAUGUUAUUUAUGUGAAAAUAAAAAUGCCACCGCACACGUUUGCUUGAGGAAUCCAUCAGACCAGACCACCUCCAUUUUGUGAGCCCACAGAACCCUCCCCAUCUGGCUCUCCCCUCCUCACCCCUCCUCCUCUCCCAUCCUCUGUGUGGAGAAAACCAUGUUUCAGAACUGUGGGAUGUUUAUGGACGCGGAAUCCAAAGAGUUGCCUUGCUCUCCCUCCUAGGUCAACAAAGGCACCCAUCUUGCACCAUGAACAACAGGAAGGCCUAACCCAGAAGAAGCCUAAGAUGAAAAAACAACACGAUCUGUUACCUUGUACAGACUGGUGGAGAUCGGAGAUUUGAUCGAGGAGUGGCCAGAGACAAACGAUAGUUUUCUAGAGAGGCCCCUUUGAGAUGGCACCAUCCUGGGAGAAACGGAACCUGGGCCGCCGUCUCCAGCCCGACUCGUUGGACCAGAACCAGGCGGUGGUUAUAGCCAAGCUAGCAGACUGGAAUCCAGCUACCACAUCAGCAGUGACAAACCCAGUAAACAAGAAUGACAGCCACAGAACGACAGGUCUGCACUCCAACGAGAGACCCCAACACACAGAGGAAACUCCAGGACUGGAAUCUUCAUGUGAAGAAAAUAUCGGUGAUCAUCGGUGACUCCAAUGUGCACAGACUCCUCCGUCCUAUAAAGCAGAGGGGUACAGAUCGACAGAUUUCCAUGAGCGAAAUGUUGCCACCCGGUGAGGCCCAGCUGGAGAAAGCACACUGUGGAAAAUCUGGUUUUAUAACUUUGGACUGAAUACCAGUGAUGGAGCUGAAAAUGGGACUAAAGGCAGAGCAGUAAGCAAUCUUUCUAAGGCCCUUCUUUGUGAAGAACAAGCCACAUCGUUGCAUCUGAACAACUUUAUUACAGGUUUAGAUGAACAGAUUCCUGUACUUCCUACUUUGAUAUUCAGCACAGAGAAGGACAACAUUCACUCGACCAGUAGAGCUGCAAUGUGUAUGUUAGAACAGUGGAACCAGUGUGUAAAUGAGGCAUCCCCCAUAAGCCUUGAAAAGUGGGAGGAGAGUAGUGGUGUGAUUCACCUUUCUUAAGUUCCAAUGCUCAGCGGGUCCUUUGGACAGAAAUAAGUUCUUCUUCUUUCAAUUAUUGUUUAUUCUGUUCAUUGUAGAAUCAGCUAGGCUCCAGUGGUCAGGAGAAGCUUCUGCUAUAUGAAGCUGUUACAGUGCUUUUUGUUACAUUGAACGAGAGUAGUUUUUCUUGUUGCUUGUUUGAUCUACUGCCGUUUAAAAGAUUAUAAUUACUGAAGUGAAUGUGUUUUGAGACAGUUUACAGUGCCACUGAAGCUCCACUCAACCAAGUGUGCCUCAACAGUCUGAAAUGAAAAGAUUUUUCUUCCUUUUUUUUAUUUCUCUCCCUCUCAUGCUUCUGUUUGGAUUCCCAUUGGACAAAGCACUUCGGUUUGUGUUAGCAGGCUGAAAACAAUAAUUUUGGAUGUUUCUUUCGGCUCUUGAGGUGCCCUCAUUGAGUGCGGUUUGCCCAGUGUCCUCGAGGGUAUGUGAGGAGCCUUCCAUAGUUGGGUUGUUGUGUUUUUACCCCAGCAGCUAUUCAUCUCCAUCUCAACAGUUCAUGACCAACAUGCCGUGGCUGCCCCCUGUACCUGUCUGAGUACCUUUACCCAGGCAAGUUCAGGACCGUGCACGUCCUCCUGCCUUCAAAAGAGGGGGGAGGAGGAGGUGAAUAGUUCAGCCUUCCUUCUCCCCCCUCACCCUCACCCUUUACCCGUGCCCCUCCCUUUAGGCAGGGAGGGGUCUGAACUUCAUUUCCUUGUUCAUAUUCACGUCCUCCUGCCCUCUAUGAGGGGGCAGAAGGACGUGAAUAUUUCAGCCUCCCUUCUCCCCACUCACCCCUCCUCCUCCUCACCUCCUCUCUUUUACCUCGGCAGCCCAUGACCGGCAUGCCGUGGCUGCCCCCUGUACCUGUUGAGUACCUGUACCCUCAUCCACUGAAGCCUGGACCUCCAGCUGAUUGCAGCCACUUUAGUGCAAGGAGAUGAUUGCGUUUUGUGUGACUGUCUUGCAGUUCACCCUUCCCUUUCUACCCUAACCCAUUUUCCACUCCAGCCUCUACCCCACUCGGUUCAGACCCCUCCUCAGGCAAGGAGGGGUUUCAAUCCCAUUUCCCGCACCCCCAACCUUAACCCACCAUCAAGUCCUGCCCCCUUCUCUCCUCAUACCGCUGCCCACAGUUCAGACCCCUCCUCAGGCCCCUUACUGCUUGAACGGCUCUAACCAAAUUAGGAACAUAGGUUUUUUUUUUUUUUUUCAAAAGCAAAUGUUUUAAAAAAGAAAAGAACAGAAAAACAUAACUGAACACAACAGUAUGUCAGUGUACAGUGACUGAUCAGGCAGUACAGUUUUAGGAACCUUUUUAACUGAGGCAGGAUGGCAUUUUGGUUUUUAAUCAGAAUCUACCCUUCAGCCAGAAUUCAUUUAAAGAGCUGUGGGAACAGCUACCUGUGACUGAAUCUCUGUCAGUUUUGACACUAUCUCAACUGUGAACAGCAGUACAACGGGUCAUGAUGAAACCUGGAGGCCAGAUGACACCAUGGAGAUGUUUCAGAUCAUCAAUGAGCAGCAAUUAGCUGAAAACUUUGAUGAAAAUCUCUGAGCUUCCAAAUGACAUUUUAAAAAAAGACGGCAUUACACCUCCAGCCUCCACUGUUCCAGUUAUGACAGAUUACCCUGGCAAAUGUGGGUUUCAGCUGAGAUUCCAAAAGUCUACCCCACUGUUCAGACCCCUCCUCAGGCAGGGAGGGGUUUCAAUCCCAUUUCCCCCACCCCCAACCAAAUCCUAACCUUAACCCACCAUCCAGUCCUGCCCCCCUUCUCUCCUCAUACCGGUGCCCACAGUUCAGACCCCACCUCAGGCCCCUCCCUGCCUUUUCCAGCCUUAUAAAGAAAGGGAAGGCUGAAGUGGCAGACCGUCGUGCAAAAAACGAGCAUCUCCUCCAUGCACUGCUUACAGUCAAAUGACAAAAUAUGUGAACUCUUUUUAAACAGGAAAAAGGAAGAAAUUGUACACCAGAGGGUGCUGUAUUUAUUAUGUAGCUGUUUUUUGUUUUUUUUGUUUGUUUGUUUGUUGUCUCUUCUGUUUUUUCUCUCCAUACAGGUGAGCCAGGUGUUUUGUUUUUCUUUCUUUCUUCUCCCCUUUCUCGCCAUCUCUUCUCCCCUCAAUUUUUCCUUUCUCUCGCUCUCUUUCUUUCAUUCUUUCUCCCUGUCCUAUCUCCCAGUCAUGUCUGUCCCGACUGUAACAACUGAAAAUAAAAUAAAAUACACAAUUAUAAUAAAGGUCAAUCAAAUGGACCAAUAUGGCAAGGCCAUGAUGAUCCAGUUGGUAAAGUAAAUCCGCUUGGCAUCUCUCUUGGCCUUAAGACAACAAUUCUGAUGGCUAAAGAUCCAAGCGGGACAGGGGGGGAAAAAAAGAAAUUGUACACCAGAGGGGGGCAAGAAGGAGAAAAACCGUUGUUCCUUCCCUCCCCCAGAAGGCAGUAGAAUAUCAUGUUUUAAAUGCCACUUUUUUGGGGGGGUAAAAUUUCUUGACAAAUAUGUUUCUCUUUUUUCUUUUGUUAUUUCGUCCCUCUUUGGUACAGCUACAAAACAUGUGCGAGGUGUUGCCCCAUGGGAAAUUGUGCUAUAGCUAGAAACCUGUGUUUUCAUAUAUACAUGCAUAUAUAACAAGCUUUUUAGUUUCUCUGUUGCUUUGUUGAAGUUCUUUGUGUUUCAAUAAACUCCCUGUAUUUAAACAGUACUGCACUGACUUAUAUUUUUCAAACUGAUUUUGCCUGAACGCACCCUGAUUUUGACCAGCAGAAAAUAGCAGGAUCUGACAAUUCAAUCAAUGGCUUUAUACAUUUUUAUUUUUAUUUGAAUUUAUUCUUUUCGUUUCAUUUUGUCUUUUGAAUCAAAUUGAGGAAAAAAUGUAACUGUUUAUGAACUAUUUGUACAAUAUAAAAUAUAUGAAAAAUUUAUGACUCACUGAGAGACAUGUUUAUCUCUCUGUUCCUUGUCAUCUGUGCAGGCUGAGAAUAUGACUACAAAAAGUCCCAAAUGUCAAAAAGGUAUUCUCAAGUGGAAGCUCAGUAAUGGUCCAAAAAUUAGGCACAUGCUUUCUUCCAUGUGUGACUGAGCAUGCAGUUCAGCAAUUUCACCACUAGAUGGAGUCAUUGCCAAAGGAAUGUCAACUUUGAAUUGGAGCAUCACUGGACUGACAGUGAAAUUACACAUCACAUUACCCCUGACUUCAUCCAGAGAUGUAACAGGAUCUCCUCCAGAGUGGGACGGUCCUCAGGCUGGAGGACCGCAAUCACAAUGUAUAUAUGUAUAUAUAGUGAUUGUUGAAUUUCUCUAAUUUCAGACCUGUUUCAAAUCAUAAGCAGACACAACCAAAAACCGCUUCAUGUCGGAAAAUAUACUAAAUUGAUAUGCAGAGUUUUUCUCUCUCACUCUUUGUAUUUACAAUGCAAACAAGAUGGAGAGAAACGUUGUGUAUUGCCUACUUUGCAUAAAGCCCCAACAGUCCAUUCGCACACACCUGAGCAGAGUUUGCCUGAAAGACUGCACACCACAGAAAUGUGAGGCCAGAUGGUGGAAUUGAACUCAGGACCUUCUUGCUGGGGGGCAACAGUGCUAACCACUGUGCUGCACAGUGGAGGACAGCUGCAUCGAUAUGUUGCUCAUCAAUGACCACCAAUUAGCAGAGAUCUGGCAAUGGACAUUUUUCCAAAAGACAGCAUUAUGCCCUAACCUUCCACUGUCAGGAUCAAAGGAAUGGCUUUGAUAAUACUGCUUAAACUAAGACUGUACAAAUUUAAGAAACACAAUGGCAACAUUCAACAAUUAGACCUAACAUUUCCCCCCUUUUUGUCAUUGUAUAUACUUAAAUUUCAACUUAUGCACCCUUUGUUUGGACAGUGACAGUGUAGAUUUCAUUCAUACACAACUCCUCUUCAUUCACCUUCUAUCGAUGCAAAAGUUCACAGUUAAUACAUGUAAGCAGUUAACCUGCUUCUCAUUGAUCUCAUACACAGUAAACUACAUCCUAUACGUAAGCAAAUCAGUGUCAACAGUCCAAAAACAGGAAUUAAUAUUUUCAAAAGAAGAUGCCACCAAGGACCAGACAUUCACCAAGUUAUCCAGCCUUGUGGUGCAUCUACUCCUGUCGUGCGAUUCAUUAUGUAUUCCUGCAAGUAAACAACUGAAUGUAACAGUCAAACAAGAAGAAUCAACAUUCUCAAAAAUCAAAUGUCACUACAAUCCAACUGUAUACAGACAUAGACAUUCAAACACAUCAGUUGACUUUAUCGUUUGUCCAUGUGGCUCUCAGCUAACUUCAAAGCUGUAGCCUGGUCAACACCCUUCUUUAUGACUCCUAUCAACCCCCCGAAUCUUCUCACUAUAGGCAUCCUAUGGGGGUUAGAGUCAACUGGUAAAUUAUCCGCAUUUACAACUCUUGUCCUGUCCUGUUGUCACCACAGGAAAAGCUUUGUAAAGGAAAUUGGAUCAAGCUGUUUUGAUCUUCUUGGCUCACAACCUCAACCAGCUUAGAGAAGUGUUCAUGAUGCAAAUGUAGACAAAAGCUUCUCUGUUUGCAUCCUUCUUGCAGAGGACACAAAGAAUAGGUGACGUUGCUCAGAUUUCAUGGUAAAUCUCCAACUUGGACUAAUCCAUUGCCCUUCAUACACAUAGGCAACUGGCCUAUUUCCCGUUCAUUUAGCUGUUCAAUGUCCUGCAGCAAGUCAGACACUUGGAGUCAGACUAUCAGGUCUAUCGCACCAGAGCAGUUCACCUUCCCAGCUACUGGUGAAUCAACCGUCCAGUCAGGUUCAGAAGUUGAAAAGUUGGCAGUGUUCCAAGAACGUUUACUCCUGGAUGUGUCGCUACGGCAACCAACAAACUGUCUCACUCUCAGUGAUGCUAUAUGGCCACAGUCCAGAAGAAUGUGUAGACAGUGGCAUCACAAGCAUAACCAUUGGUCUUGUUCUUUAUGUGAGCGGUUGUGUUCACAAACUGCCACCAGUAGUUGUUGAAAACCCCAUGCGGGUACUGGGUGUGGUUUGCUCUGUCCCAGUGCGCUCCUGUCAUCCCACUCAGAGUUAACAGGCACAAGGCGCACAGCACAUUCCCAGCCAUUCUGAUGAGUACCUGUGGCUCAGUUGGUUUCUUCACCGGAUUGAGACGAGGGGCCCUGGAGGCUUUCCCCCCCCUUUGUACCCGGUCUUCCUGCCACUUACCCCGAGCUGGCCUGGAUGUGUGUCACCUUCUUGCAGUGCGCUUGAUGUAUCCAAGCGUUCCUUCCAGCAACUUCACCGCUGUGGUCGUCGUCAGCAGCAUCCGAUAUGGACCUUCCCACCGUGGACUGGACCAGGACUUCCUCUCCAUGGCCUUGUCAACAUCCAAUCUCCAGACUUCAGACUCUGCUCCUGCGGAGAAACAGAAUCAUCUGGCAGAUCAUUUGUUCUCAAGACUUCUUUACUUUUAAACAUUUUAAGCAUCUAAUCUGCUAAUAUGCUCUCUCUUCUGCUCUCCUAUCAUCACUACAGAAGACUAGAACUCUAAAUACUCUAACAUAUAUAAUCUCAACGAGUCAAACCAUUCUCUGUUGGAGUAAUCCUCAUGUACAUCUUAACUAAUUCUAUACAGUUUAACCAUGUCCUGCGUGUCUCUUCCUAAGUCUUAACAUUACUAUUCCAUUAGUUCUCUCUACCAACCCUGCACUUUGUGGGUGAUAUGAACAAUGACGUUUUUAGUGUUAUCCCUAGAUGUUGUGCCAUUAAUCCAAUCACUUCAUUUACAAAAUGUGAACCAUCAUCGCUAAACAAUACUCAUAGUUAUUACAGCUGGACAGCUCUAUAGUCCAUGUGAAUAACUUGAAAUGGGUGACUGGGUCUGGGGAAUUUCCCUCUCUUAGAUCUCAAAUUACGCCGAGAAUUGUGCUUGAACAUAUCAUACAUGACCUGCAAAAAUUUAUUUAUUUAUUUUGUUAAGGGUAUUUAAUUGUAAAGUAUAAACUACUCAUUAUCUCCCUCCUGUUGCGACAUGGCAAAGCCCAUGGCGCAAAAUAGCAGCAGUCUUAUACAAAUUCUAAGGCAGUAUUGGUUUAUCACACAGAUAACAAACACCAUCCUACAGGCUCGCUCCUACUGUAAAUCACAACUGUUUCCCUGCAGUAGAUGAGUGGCCCUGCAUGUCUACCAGUGCAUCACGCAUAAUAGCCAACGUCUGCUGGCGUUGCACUGCUAAAACGUUAACACCAUGUUCUCCUAAAGUUGCCUCUUUCGCGAUCUUAUCUGCAAAAGCAUUCUCUAAUGCAACUGGAUCUUGCCGUCACAUGUGUGCUACACAUUUACAAACGGCAAUCCUACUGGGUAAAAACUCUGCCUCCAGCAGAUUUUGCAGAGUUUGGCGUGUUCUACAGGUUUCCCUGUAGAGGCUGUCACACCUCGUCUCACCCACUGCACCACAAAGAAAUGUAACGUAGCAAAUGCAUACUGGCUAUCAGUGUAUAUUGUCACAUCUUAUUUCUCUGCAGCUUUACAUGCUUCCGUUAAAGCUAGCAUCUCUGCUGCUCAAGCAAAUAUGAAACAUGCUAGUUGUCCUGCACAGAUAACUUUCUCACUAUCUACUACAGUAAAACCUGUUUUAGUCUGUCCCUCUACUGUUGUAAAACUCAAACCAUCAACAAACCAAACCUUUCCCUCACCAAGUGGCACAUCUAGUAAGUCAUCCCUUGGCUUACACUCCUUCUCUACGUGGUCUCUACACUCAUGAGGAGUGCCCUCUUCUUUCGUUGGCAAAAGGUUUGACAGAUUCAGAAUUGUGCACCUGUGAAAAGAUUUUGUUUAUUAUUCAAAUAUGCUUUGCUUGUGAUUGUGUAAACUCUGAAUGACGAUUCACCCUGAUAAAACAUGAAACCUUGCCUAUGCUUAUCAAAUGCCUGUGAAGACAAGUUCCUGUGCAAAGAACAACGGAAAAUGCCACUUAAUGUGGUGUCGCGAAAAUGAGAUAACCGGGGACGGUUACUAAAGUAGUGACAACGCCACCUGGGGGAGGGCGCUACAACCCCAGGAAAGAUUUCUCUAGCCAAUGAGAAGAUUGCACUGGCUACCAAAGCCCACAGACUCGUUAUUUAAAGGCAGAGGUGAGACAAAGAAAGUUUAUAAUUCAAAAGUUUAUUUAGAGGAACUACUAAAACAUAACUAAAAGAUUAAAAAGGCACCUAGGGUAGCAGGGGUAAGAGAGUAA
ensembl:lncRNA